rnacentral:rRNA from 1 species
UCGGUGCCCAAGAUCCAUCUAGAGGAGCCUGUCCCAGAAUCGAUGAUCCGCGCAAACCUUACCAACCCUAGCUUAACAGCUUGUAUACUUCCGUCGCAAGUCUACCACAUGAGUGAAAAUCAGCAGACUUAACGUUUAUAGAAAAUACGUCAGGUCAARGUGCAGCAAAUGAGUUGGCGGAGAUGGGCUACACUUUCUAACCUAGAAGAUACGAAAGACUUCAUGAAACCUAGUCAGAAGGCGGAUUUAGUAGUAAAAAGAAAACAGAACGCUCUUUUUAACACGGCCCUGGAGUGCGCACACACCGCCCGUCACCCCCUUCAAAAUCCCCAAAUAACAGUACAUAACAACAAUUCCCAAUAAAGAAGGGGCAAGUCGUAACAUGGUAAGUAUACCGGAAGGUGUACUUGGAUAUGAAACAUAGCUUACAUAAAG